AUGGGCGAAAGCCUGAUGCAGCCAUACCGCGUGUAUGAAGAAGGCCUUUGGGUUGUAAAGUACUUUCAGAAGUGAAGAAAACAACUAAGACUAAUAAUCUUGUUUUAUUGACAUUAACUUCAGAAGAAGCACCGGCUAACUCCGUGCCAGCAGCCGCGGUAAUACGGAGGGUGCAAGCGUUAAUCGGAAUUACUGGGCGUAAAGCGUACGCAGGUGGUUUAUUAAGUUGGAUGUGAAAUCCCUGGGCUUAACCUAGGAACUGCAUUCAAAACUGAUAGGCUAGAGUAUCAUAGAGGGGAGGAGAAUUCCAGGUGUAGCGGUGAAAUGCGUAGAGAUCUGGAGGAAUACCAGUGGCGAAGGCGCCUCCCUGGAUGAAUACUGACGCUCAUGUACGAAAGCAUGGGGAGCAAACAGGAUUAGAUACCCUGGUAGUCCAUGCUGUAAACGAUGUCGAUUUGGAGAUUGUAGUUUUAUACUGUGGUUUCCGAAGCUAACGCGUUAAAUCGACCGCCUGGGGAGUACGGCCGCAAGGUUAAAACUCAAAUGAAUUGACGGGGGCCCGCACAAGCGGUGGAGCAUGUGGUUUAAUUCGAUGCAACGCGAAAAACCUUACCUACUCUUGACAUCCAGAGUACUUACUAGAGAUAGUUUGGUGCCUUUUGGUAACUCUGAGACAGGUGCUGCAUGGCUGUCGUCAGCUCGUGUUGUGAAAUGUUGGGUUAAGUCCCGCAACGAGCGCAACCCUUGUUCUUUGUUGCCAGCGAUUUGGUCGGGAACUCAAAGAAGACUGCCGGUGAUAAAUCGGAGGAAGGUGGGGAUGACGUCAAGUCAUCAUGGCCCUUAUGAGUAGGGCUACACACGUGCUACAAUGGCAUAUACAAAGAGAAGCUACCUCGUAAGAGCAAGCAAAUCUAUAAAGUAUGUCUAAGUCCGGAUUGGAGUCUGCAACUCGACUCUAUGAAGUAGGAAUCGCUAGUAAUCGUAGAUCAGCAUGCUACGGUGAAUACGUUCCCGGGCCUUGUACACACCGCCCGUCACACCAUGGAAGUGGGUGCAAAAGAAGCAAGUAGCUUAACCUUUAUAAGGAGGCGCUACCAC
rnacentral:rRNA from 1 species